UGCCAAUGGCACUGCCCGGUAGCUAAAUGCGGAAGAGAUAAGUGCUGAAAGCAUCUAAGCACGAAACUUGCCCCGAGAUGAGUUCUCCCUGAGACUUUAAGUCUCCUGAAGGAACGUUAAAGACGAUGACGUUGAUAGGCCGGGUGUGUAAGCGCAGCGAUGCGUUGAGCUAACCGGUACUAAUGAACCGUGAGGCUUAACCUUACAACGCCGAAG
rnacentral:rRNA from 1 species